UCCACCCCCACCCUGAGCCCCUGCCGGCCUUACCAGAGCUCCCUGAGCAAGGAAGCAGUCACUGUCCUGCAAGGUCCUGGUCUGGGCCCAGGUCCAGCCGGCCUCGGGGGGUGGGGGGGCAGAGGACGCUGUGGACUCAGCAGCACGGAGGGCCGCAGGGUCGUGCGUGGCCUGAGCCUGCACCCUCAUGGCCAGUGUUCCCAGGCCGCGUGUUCAGUCAGCUCCCCUGGGCUCUGUGUGUGUGUGUGUGUGUGUGUGUGUGUGCGUGCGCGCGCACGUGCACUCGCGCACAUGCUCACAGGUGCCUGCACGCCCAGCCCCGGGCUGGGGUGAGGAUCCAGCAGCCAUCAGGACCGGACACAGGCAGGCCCAGCCCAGCAGCAGGGCCUCAAGGGCCCAUGGAGGGCCCAGCGCUGAUGGCCGAAGGGAGUGGGGGUCGGGGGCGAUGGGAAGCCGGCAUCAGGCUCUCGGUGCUCAUCUGUGUGGCUCUGCGGGUCAGAACUUCACCCCUCCUCCGGCCGAAGGGUGCAGGAUGGACAGUGGAAUUCAUUCCAUUUGGCCAAGAAGGGCCCGCUCCUCCCUGGGUGGACAUUUGCCUGCGCUCCUUACACUGAGCAUCGGAGCCCCCGCAGACCUUCAGGAUCUAUGAGACGAAAGCCGAGAGCUUACUAAGAGCUCAGAGCACCACUAAGGCAGAUGAGGGCAACGGCCCGGGUUCUGGGCUCUCUCGGUCACUACCAUGGAGACCGGUAUGUACCGACCUUGGUGUUGCAAAAUGCGCGUUCCGGGUCUGCCCAUGGUCGGCUGCCUCAGGGCCCGCACGGUCUGUUCCUCUGCCCGCCCUCCCCC
rnacentral:lncRNA from 1 species